AGCUCAGUCAGUUGAGCGUGGUGCUGAUAACACCAAGGUUGUGGGUUUGAUCCCCAU
rnacentral:tRNA from 1 species